GCCUUCGUGGUGUAGUGGUCAGCACGCUCGACGCGAAUUCGAGAGGUCCGUGGUUCGAGUCCCGGCGAGAGCA
rnacentral:tRNA from 1 species